CCUACGGGAGGCAGCAGUAGGGAAUCUUCCACAAUGGGCGAAAGCCUCAUGGAGCAACGCCGCGUGGGUGAAGAAGGUCUUCGGAUCGUAAAACCCUGUUGUUAGAGAAGAAAGUGCGUGAGAGUAACUGUUCACGUUUCGACGGUAUCUAACCAGAAAGCCACGGCUAACUACGUGCCAGCAGCCGCGGUAAUACGUAGGUGGCAAGCGUUAUCCGGAUUUAUUGGGCGUAAAGGGAACGCAGGCGGUCUUUUAAGUCUGAUGUGAAAGCCUUCGGCUUAACCGGAGUAGUGCAUGGGAAACUGGGAGACUGGAGUGCAGAAGAGGAGAGUGGAACUCCAUGUGUAGCGGGGAAAUGCGUAGAUAUAUGGAAGAACACCAGUGGCGAAAGCGGCUCUCUGGUCUGUAACUGACGCGGGGGUUCGAAAGCGUGGGUAGAAAAAAGGAUUAGAUACCCGAGUAGUC
rnacentral:rRNA from 1 species